rnacentral:rRNA from 1 species
CCUACGGGCGACAGCAGUCGAGAAUCAUUCACAAUGGGGGAAACCCUGAUGGGGCGACGCCGCGUGGGGGAAUGAAGGUCUGCGGAUUGUAAACCCCUGUCAUGUGGGAGCAAAUUAAAAAGAUAGUACCACAAGAGGAAGAGACGGCUAACUCUGUGCCAGCAGCCGCGGUAAUACAGAGGUCUCAAGCGUUGUUCGGAAUCACUGGGCGUAAAGCGUGCGUAGGCGUUUUCGUAAGUCGUGUGUGAAAGGCGCGGGCUCAACCCGCGGACGGCACGUGUUACUGCGAGACUAGAGUAAUGGCGGGGGAACCGGACUUCUCGGUGUAGCCGU